UACGUAGGGUGCAAGCGUUAAUCGGAAUUACUGGGCGUAAAGCGUGCGCAGGCGGUGAUGUAAGUCAGUUGUGAAAUCCCCGGGCUCAACCUGGGAACUGCAUCUGUGACUGCCUCGCUGGAGUGCGGCAGAGGGGGAUGGAAUUCCGCGUGUAGCAGUGAAAUGCGUAGAUAUGCGGAGGAACACCGAUGGCGAAGGCAAUCCCCUGGGCCUGCACUGACGCUCAUGCACGAAAGCGUGGGGAGCAAACAGG
rnacentral:rRNA from 1 species